rnacentral:rRNA from 1 species
AGGGUGCGUAGGUGGUUGUGUUAGUCCUUUGUUAAAUUUCCCGGCUCAACCGGGAAGCCGCACGGGAAACGGCACGACUCAGAGGUUGGAAGGGGUUUGCGGAACUCAUGGUGUAGCGGUGAAAUGCGUUGAUAUCAUGGGGAACACCAAAAAGCGAAGGCAGCAAACUGGUCCACACCUGACACUGAAGCACGAAAGCGUGGGUCGCGAAUGGGAUUAGAUACCCUGGU